GGAGCUGUAGACUAAUUGGUUAUGUCGGCUCCACAGAACGUAGGGAGAUGCGGGUACGAAUCCCGCCUGCGUCC